GAUGAAGAACGCAGCGAAAUGCGAUACUUGGUGUGAAUUGCAGAAUCCCGUGAACCAUCGAGUCUUUGAACGCAAGUUGCGCCCGAAGCCAUUAGGCCGAGGGCACGCCUGCCUGGGCGUCACACGUCGUUGCCCCCCCAUCUACUCCUUCGGGAUUGCGGGGGGCGGAUGAUGGCCUCUCGUGCGCCUCGUCGCGCGGUUGGCCUAAAUGCCAAGUCCUCGGCGACGCACGCCACGACAAUCGGUGGUUGCGAAACCUCGGUUGCCUGUCGUGUGCGGUCGUCGCGCAUCGAGGGCUCGAAAAAAUUGCCGGGCUUCGGCUCGACUUUCAACGCGACCCCAGGUCGGGCGGGGUUACCCGCUGAAUUUAAGCAUAUCAAUAAGCGGAGGA
rnacentral:misc_RNA from 1 species